UUUUUUUUUUGGGGGUAAAAUGAGGUGCAAAAACAGACACUGUGAUACAUUUCAUAAGUGGUAGAACAGAGAUUUCAAACUAGUUAAGAACCUGUAUUCCUUAUCCAAGUCUCUUCCCACAGAGGAAUGUCAUUUGAUCCUGGCAUGCUUCUCUCUCAUUCCUCCUCUGUUGUGGUAGAAGAGUAAGACCUAAUUGGUAAGCCUGGAAACUUUUGUGCUGGCCAGCCCUUUCCUCCAUCUCUUGUGUCUCUACAAGUUUGUCUUCAGAUACUCUCAGCCUUGAAAUAUCUUGGAGGUGAAGACCUUGCUACCUUGGAGAAGUUCUGCAGUGGUCCAGAGCUGUCUGCAACUGACUAUGAAGUUCUGUCAGGUCCUGGGGUGCUGCUCCAGCUCACUAGUUCCCAGAAAUAUCAAAUUCUCUGAUAUUAACUCUAUCAAUCAGACAGAUGAUAUGUUUGCUUCCCAUCAGCCUCACCAAUCUUGCUUUCAUUUCUCUUCUGGUUCCAAAUACAGGUUUUCUCAAUAAAGCCAUGUUUUGAUAUGACUUCAAAUCUGAGCUCCUAUCCAUUAAAGAACAACCCUGAUGUUUUGCUGAUGUUUUGCAUAAGGUGAAAUAAGGCUUACAGAUGACAGAGAGAAUCCCUAGGUUAUUUUGUAACUACCUUUUCCAGAAAAUUGAAUAUUUCCUUUUUCUAAGCUUGAAAUGGCAAAACAAGAUUAAGAGAAAAUUAGAAAUCAAGGCAAGAUAGGAAAUAUCUUGCCUCAUAAAUUCUUUGAGUAAAAUCAAGUCCUCAGACCCAGAAAAUGAUAUAACAGUCUGAUUAAACAGCUUAGUUAACCACAAAAAAGCCACUGUCACUCAUAGUUGAGAAAUCACAGAGCAUGAAAAAUUGUCUGCAGAAAACGAGAAUGGGAAAAUGGCUCCAGUCUUCAAAACACUAAAAGAUGUUAAAAUUUCAAAAAUUAUAAUCAGUAGGCUUGACAUCAGCCUUCAGGAAACUUAUAGAAUAAUGUGAAAACUAUAGUUAAGUCCACUAAAAAAAAAAAAUGAGUUGCUUCAAACUCAUCUAUUAUCAUUUCACAUAAUUUGAUUAAAAAAAACUAUAGCAUACCUUUAUUUCAGAAAACAUUAGACUGAGACAUUCACGAUAUACUUGAUAAUGAUGGUAGAAAGGAGAUGCGUGUUUAUGCAGUUAAAAAGUUUGAAAGCUAGAAGAUCCAUCAGAGUGAAUGUGAAUCACUGUGAAGUAAAUGGAGAAUUAGCUACCUUCUAAAAGCUAAAUGCAAUAUUUAAGUAGGACUAAAUAUUGAAGAAAAGCUCCCAAAUUGUAGAAAGAAACAUUUCCAUUGACCCUUCAAUAUUCAAACCAUAUUUUGAUUUUGUGUGAAAUAUGGAUACCACAUAUUAAAAGAGAUAUUAACACAUGGACUGUUUAGAAAGAAGCAAACAGAGUUAAAGCUGUCAGGUCAAUUUGAAAAAGAUUGUCGGAGCUUGGAAUUUUAUUCUGGAAAAGAAGAGACAAUGAUGAACAUGCGGACUGGCUUUCAAGUCAAUCAGCUAUUUGAGGCCUCAGAUUUUUCUUAUAUAAAGUGAAGGGGCUUAAACUUAAUGAGGUCUUUAUGAUCCCUAUGUCUCUACUGAUAAGCUGUUUCUAUCUGAACGUUUGCAAAGUCAUGGUCAAGGGCUAAGGAAUCUGCUCCCUAGAAGUCUGAAUUUGAGACAAGGAGCAACCACUACAAAGAGGUAAAUGUGUAACUGAACAUGAACAUACUUUCUAACAAUCACAUACAUCCUGGAACAGUGGGUAUUGAUUGCAAGUAAGUAAAUCCACGAUUUUUCAAGCUAUUUUUCAAGUACAACAAUCCUAAGAGUUAUUUUUAUUGUACUUUUGUUACUAUUUCAGGACAGUAUAUUAAACGUCUACUACAUUCUAGGCUCCUAUUGGAGCAGUUGACAUCUGAUAUCAUAUUCAUGAUGAUCUUCCUUCAGAAUAGCCAUGGCAGAGAGCUCCUCAGAAGUUGGAGGAGGGUCUUGGUCAAUCAUGCUGAAACAUGAAGACUGACACCCCAGGGGUCUUUAGCUAUUUCAAGAGAUGCCAUUCAAUUCUGAAAAGUUCCUCAAAAUAAUAUGGUAAAAACCUGAUGUCUUAAGAGUUCCAUUCUAUUAAUGCCAAAGUUGCCGCUAUGAGAAGCUGGAAGCAGGUUCGUGGCCAUUCGCAAAAGAAAGCUUCUUCUCAAAUCAAAGCAAAAUGUGUUUCUCAUAGCACUCUUCCUAAAGUUGAAAGGAGGAGAGAGUGUCUGGAGUUCAAAGGGAUUCUGAAGCUCUAGGUACCAAGAGCUGAAAUAUAACAUAAUUACACCAAUUAGGUGCAAAAAGUUUUUGAUUUUUAGAAAUAACAAUCUCUGUAAUUGUAUGUAAGGAAGAAAAGAAGAUUCGUAUUCUUCUUUCAAGUGUCUUCUUUUUUAUUUUUAUUUUUUAUUUGUUCUAAUUAGUUAUACAUGAUAGUAGAAUACACUGUGAUAUAUCACACAUGAAUGUGAGUAUGAUUUCUCAUUCUUCUGGUUGUACAUAAUGUAGAAUCACACCAGUCAUGUAGUCAUAUAUGUACAUAGGGUAAUUAUAUCUGAUUCAUCCUCCUACCUUUCCUACCCCGUUACCCCCUCCCCUUCUUUCACUAAAAACCAGACACCAAUUGCCUUCUUAUUCUUCAUAUAAAUGAGCAGUAGAGGGGCACACAGAGGAGCUCAGGUACUUGAUGAUUGUGUGAGUGUGCUGAGUGAAGAGACCAACGCCUGAACUUCACUUCACUCCUUAUAACCAGCUCUUACUUUGCAUCAUGGGUGUGACACAUUCUACUCCAGUGUUUCUCAACCCUUAGAGAAUACCAGCUUUUCAUAAACAUAAACAUCUUGUUCAUACUUAGCCAGAAGUUAUAACACAUCCCUCAGAAUUAGGGGAGGAAAAACUCCAGUCACGAAUCUGUAUUUUCUUUGUAACACAGCAACAACAAAAGAAUGUUGUUGUGUUGUUAUUAUUGUUGUUGUUUUAUCAAGUUAGCAUUAUA